UCCCCCCUCCAAUCAGUGAAACUGAUCUCUCCGUGAAGAAGCGGGGAUAUUUACAUAAGACGAGAAGACCCCAUGGAGCUUUAAACCCGAUGUCACCCAUUUUCCUCUACACCCUAAUAUUCAAUUUGGCCCUGCCCUGUCGGUUUUAGGUUGGGGUGACCACGGAGUAUAAUAUACCCUCCAUGAAAAAGGGAGUAAUAAUCCUUAUUAGAGAACAACACUUCUAAAAAUUAAAACAUUAAUUUAUAAUGAUCCGAUAUUCGAUCAACGAACCAAGUUACCCUGGGGAUAACAGCGCAAUCUGCCUCAAGAGCCCCUAUCGACAGGCGGGUUUACGACCUCGAUGUUGGAUCAGGGCAUCCCAGUGGUGCAGCAGCUACUAAAGGUUCGUUUGUUCAACGAUUAAAACCCU
rnacentral:rRNA from 1 species